CCUACGGGUGGCAGCAGUGGGGAAUAUUGCACAAUGGGGGAAACCCUGAUGCAGCGACGCCGCGUGAGUGAAGAAGUAUUUCGGUAUGUAAAGCUCUAUCAGCAGGGAAGAAAAUGACGGUACCUGAUUAAGAAGCCCCGGCUAACUACGUGCCAGCAGCCGCGGUAAUACGUAGGGGGCAAGCGUUAUCCGGAUUUACUGGGUGUAAAGGGAGCGUAGACGGCAGGAUAAGUCAGAAGUGAAAUGCCGGGGCUUAACCCCGGAACUGCCUUGGAAACUGUGCAGCUAGAGUGCAGGAGAGGUAGGUGGAAUGCAUGGUGUAGCGGUGAAAUGCGUAGAGAUUAGGCAGAACACCAGUUGCGAAGGCAGCUUACUGGACU
rnacentral:rRNA from 1 species